rnacentral:lncRNA from 1 species
GUUGUAAGAGGGAUGUUAUUAAUAUUAUUCAGCAGGUAUAUUUCAUGAAAAUAAGUUGGGGCAGUCAUAUGGAAAGAGUUAAGAAUAACAAGUGGGCAGCUUAAAUAUUCCCAUUGGUAGUCACAAUAUAUCAAGAGACCUAGAAGAUUUUUUGAUGCAUACAUUUCUAUAUAUACAAAUGUAUAUAUAUUAGACUAAAUUAGAUUUUGUAUAUUGAACUUGAGUCUAUUAAAGAUUUCUUUUAAGUUCUAAAGAUCUGGAAUCUUUAGGAUUAUGUUUUAGUUAACUGAGCUAUCCCAUAAAGAAAAAAAAAAUUAACUUUGCCAAGAACCUUGAACAAAGGCCAACUACAAAAGCAUGUGGCUCCAUGUAAUUUAAGAUAAUAAAUUUAGAUUUAAAUGUGCAUUCCCUAUUAUUUAAAGAUGCUUUCCCUUAAAAUAAAACAAAUAAAUUGUUGUAUCAGCUGUGUGAGCAUGUGCUGGUAACAUAUAAAAUCUUUUUUUUAAAAACCUUUGUUCAGAGAUCUGAGUCUAUCAGAAGACUUGGUUGUUUUUUUUUUAAACUGUACUUGACAUCUUGCAGUUUUUUAGUAAAUCUAUUUUUUGUUUGUUUGUUUCCUAAUAUAUAAAAUAAAAUCAUAAUAUGGUAAGUCAAUAAUUUAAAAAUUGUUUUGAUUAUGAAGACCCCAAUGAUUUGGUUAUACAGAAUAAUUGGUAAAAACAAUUGAUGGAACUGUGCCUUAUUUUUAUUGAAUUUUAGAUGCUGCCUAAGGCAAUAUUAUAGGGAGGAAAGAGAGUCAACUUUAAUGAAGUUGGUUACAUAUUCAAGUCCUGCCUCUAAUAAAUAUUGACUGUGAUACCUACCAUAGUGAUGCUGUAUGUCUCUGGGAUAGAGUGGCAAAUGACAGAGUGGUGAUUAUGGAGACCAAAAGGAAAGCUAAAGGAUAUUCUUUCACUUCCAGAAUCAGUUCUUUACAAGCAGAUGGUGUGGAGUUAUAUAAUAUGCAGUAAUGUCCUUCAAAUAUCCAGAGCUCUCUAUUAAGGACAAAAGUUACCAGAUUACUGAAGAGGGAGACUAAUUCUCAGGAUCUAAAUUGCCAUUGGGGUGUUCUAGUGGAAUUCUAGAGCUCCAAAUAUCAUUCAAUGUGUUCCUAAUCUGAGAGACAAUAAAGCAGACAGAUGUAUGCCUGGGUAAGUGCUA